CGAGCGUUGUCCGGAAUCAUUGGGCGUAAAGGGCGCGUAGGCGGUGCUGUAAGUCUGUGGUGAAAUCUCUGGGCUCAACUCAGAGUCUGCCAUAGAAACUGUAGUGCUAGAGUGUGGGAGAGGUGAGCGGAAUUCCUGGUGUAGCGGUGAAAUGCGUAGAUAUCAGGAGGAACACCCGUGGCGAAGGCGGCUCUCUGGCCUGUAACUGACGCUGAGGCGCGAAAGCGUGGGGAGCAAACAGG
rnacentral:rRNA from 1 species